rnacentral:lncRNA from 1 species
CGUGUUUAGACGCACCAUUUUCUGCUCUUUGGUUGGAUUGUUGUCUCUUUGACACAUUCUCCAUUUCAAUCCUCCAUUUUAUUCAAUUAGUUGUGAUUCUCUUUAUCUCUCUGUUUUGAUGUUUUUGCAGACAAAAACAAUUCGCAGAAUUAAUCUAAAAUAGCAGACAUUAAACUCUUUCUUCUAAAAACUUUUAGCAUUUAA